rnacentral:misc_RNA from 1 species
UACAAGCAGAGCCAUCUAAUUACUAUGGAAGUGUACUUUUUUUUUAAAUUUCCAUCAGCUUUAUUCUCCCACCAAAUAAAACUUGAAUUGCUCUGGUCAACUAAUAUCUACCACAUUGACUAAAAGUAUCAGAGAGUCAUUUGUUGGUCAUUUAAUCCAUAAACACCUUUAGUCGCACACCAAGCAUUCAUAAGAUCCUGUCAUUUUCUUGUUCCUUCAUUGAGAAAGACACACCAUAAGGGCUCUUACAGGCCAACAACUUCCAACUUUAGUCUUUAUGUGAGGAGAGGCUGUUUGAAAUAAA